rnacentral:tRNA from 1 species
UCCCCGGUAGCUCAGUUGGUAGAGCAAGCGGCUGUUAACCGCUGGGUCGUAGGUUCGAGUCCUACCCGGGGAGCCA